AUGAGAAACAAUUGGAUGAUAGUCCUGCCAAUUUCUAAGGGAAAUACUAAUGUUGAAGUGAUGUGUAUGCCUAACAAACUGAUGCAUUUUUUCGGUGGAAUCUUUAGUGAUGUUGUGGGAAGCCCAUACUAUGUUGCACCAGACGUUUUGCAGAAGCAUUAUGGACCUGAGGCUGGUAUGUGGAGUGUCGGGGUUAUUUUGUACAUUUUAUCAAGCGGGGUGCCACAAUUUUAG